rnacentral:misc_RNA from 1 species
UCCUGGUUAACCCAGGCAGUCUCGUUAGAGUUCCCACCUUCACGUGUUGGCAACUAACGAUAAGGGUUGCGCUCGUUGCGGGACUUAACCCAACACCUCACGGCACGAGCUGACGACAGCCAUGCAGCACCUGUGCAGCAGCCCCGAAGGGACACACCAUCUCUGGUGUUAUCUACUGCAUGUCAAGCCUGGGUAAGGUUCUUCGCGUUGCAUCGAAUUAAACCACAUGCUCCACUGCUUGUGCGGGUCCCCGUCAAUUCUUUUGAGUUUCAGCCUUGCGACUGUACUCCCCAGGCGGUAUACUUAACGCGUUAGCUUCGGCACAACUAGGGUUGAGUCCAGUUACACCAAGUAUACAUCGUUUACAGCAAGGACUAC